rnacentral:rRNA from 1 species
AGGAAGCACCGGCUAACUCCGUGCCAGCAGCCGCGGUAAUACGGGGGGUGCAAGCGUUGUUCGGAAUUAUUGGGCGUAAAGAGCGUGUAGGCGGCCGGAUAUGUCAGAUGUGAAAGCCCUGGGCUUAACCCAGGAAGUGCAUUUGAAACUGUCCGGCUUGAGUAGGGGAGAGGGAAGUGGAAUUCCUGGUGUAGAGGUGAAGUUCGUAGAUAUCAGGAGGAACACCGGUGGCGAAGGCGACUUCCUGGCCCUAUACUGACGCUGAGACGCGAGAGCGUGGGUAGCAAACAGGAUUAGAUACCCUGGUAGUCCACGCCGUAAACGAUGUUCACUAGGUGUUGGGGGUAUUGACCCCCUCAGUGCCGGAGCUAACGCA